AGUGAACGCUGGCGGCGUGCUUAACACAUGCAAGUCGAACGAGAACGGAUUAUAGCUUGCUAUAAUUGUCAGCUAAGUGGCGCACGGGUGAGUAAUGUAUAGGUAAUAUGCCUCUUACUAAGGGAUAACAGUUGGAAACGAUUGCUAAUACCUUAUAUUCCUUUUUAUCAAAAGAUAAAAAGGGAAAGAUUUAUUGGUAAGAGAUUAGCCUGUAUUGUAUCAGUUAGUUGGUGGGGUAAUGGCCUACCAAGACGAUGACGCAUAACUGGUUUGAGAGGAUGAUCAGUCACACUGGAACUGAUACACGGUCCAGACUCCUACGGGAGGCAGCAGUGGGGAAUAUUGCACAAUGGACGAAAGUCUGAUGCAGCAACGCCGCGUGGAGGAUGACACAUUUCGGUGCGUAAACUCCUUUUAUAUAAGAAGAUAAUGACGGUAUUAUAUGAAUAAGCACCGGCUAACUCCGUGCCAGCAGCCGCCGUAA
rnacentral:rRNA from 1 species